GUGGGGAGGAGGAGGAAGGCCUCGGGCUGCGUGUUGCUCUGGCAACGAGCGGCCGCGGGUCGUCGAGGCCUUCGCCCCCUGAGGGAAGGGGGAGGGGGGGGGCCGUGAUGGGAGCUCGCCUCAGGGACGGGGACGGGCCGCGGUUCGGGCCCGCCAAAUGGGGGGUGGGGGGCACUGGUUAAGUGCGGUUUAAAGCCUCAAUUAGAAUUAAUCUGGGAAAGCAAUAAUAAUGAAGGAAAUUAAGAAAUUAUGCCAAUAUAUAUAUGUACUGCAGUAUCGUUACUUCUUGGUGGUGAUUAGUGCUCGCUGCAGGGAUGUCCUGCUGUCUGGAAAUUGGUUUUGCCGCCAAGGAAACCUGAGGAAAAUGCUGCCCUAGUUAAUGCUGCUGUAGCUCUUAGAAGAAGCUUAAAAUUAAAUAGAUACAGGUUUUUCUUUCAAAAUAUGCUCUUGAAUAAAUUAGUUUGCAUCCAGAAAGGGCAUCUGUUUUCCUUGGCUCAGAUAUUUUUCUAAAAGUGUUUAGGUAUGCAGCUCACGCUGAGACUGGUGCCUAAUAUCUGAGCAGUUCUGAAAAUCAGUCCUGCAUUGUUUCCAAUUAAGCCAGCAAUACUGUUUGAUCUCAGAAUUUUAAAUACAGAAAUGCUGCGGGGUCAGUAACCCCGGGAGAGGGAAAGGAUGGGCACUUGGACACCAGAGCUCAUGAGGUGAAGAGCUGAGUGGCCUGGUAUUUAGUAACGCAUACCAGCUAACACUAAACCUUCUCUUUUAUAGUUGAGGAAGAAGCUGAAAACACUGGGCACAUCUCUGUUUUUGUUGGAGGUCACUUGCUGAUUUAUCUCCAAUUCACAGUUCAUUAGAAGUGGCUAGAUCUUGCCUUGGUACAACCAUUGCUUUUAUUGCUCAUGGAGGAGUGUAUCCCUUCAAAUGCUCCAUAUGUUGUGGCUUCUGUCAUCAAGGUUGGAAAGACCAAAAGGAGAGGCUGCAGAGUGACCUUCUGGCGGUUUUUCUGUCUUCCCUCCACCCUGCAUCUGAGGCUUGGGAGUUCUUCCGGUCCUUCUUUGGGAAGAACUCUAUAGCUCAGUCAAAAGGUGUUCAUACUGAAGUCUGGUUUGUUUUGAUCAUGAAAUAUUUUUGUGGUUAUAGACUCCUGCUUCUCAGGAACAAAAUGGUGGGAUUAUGGUAGAUCUGUGAGCUCAAUGUUCCAUGGUCCAGAGAGCACGUAGCAUACUAGGAAUUACUAGAACAGAAACAGAGAAAAAAACAUCAGAAACUUUCUGAUACUGCUGUAAAACCAUCAUAUAUCUGCAUCAUGCAAUCAAAAAUACGGCUGAUGUGGUGAUUGUGAACCAUAUCUCCGUGUUCCUUCUACAAAAGGCCUUGAAGUCAUUUAAAGAUAUAACUUUUAUGCUAUUCCUUUUCUGAUUAAAAUAAUCUUCUGUAAGCAGUUUGAUGAUACAUAUAAAUAUUAUGGUUAGCAGUCUUCAUGGUUAAAGUAAGGCUUUUCUCUUUGGCAAGAGGAAGGCUUUACAUGCAAAUUCAGAUUCCUAAUGCAUUUCUACUAACUUCACACUUGCAUUCCAACGGAAUUAAGAAAAACUGUAAUUUUAAUAUCUUCUUUUUUAUCUGUUUCUUUAUCUUCUUCUCAUUUCAUUUCUUGCUUCCUUAUCUUUCCCUUUAUUUUUCUUUUUUUGUGUGUAUAUUUUUGGCUUCGUUUUUCUCUUGUGUUUGUUUCCUUUGCCUUGACCUUUCUCCCAAUUGCUUCAGUUUUGCUCUUUUUAUCUAGACCUGAAUAUACACAUUGAAUCAUCAUUUUUCUCUCCUUCCAUUUCUACUUCCUUUCCUCUUCUACUCCAGUACUUAUAUUUUCCCCUUUCCUCCCUAAUGUUCCCAUUUUUCCUCAGCAUUUGUUGAUGUCUCUCUUUCCCGUGUACUUUCCUGUCUUUUUCUCCGUAUUUGGUACUUUAGCUCAGCAGGAGAGACUGAACAGGGAUUUGGGCCUUGAGCUUUUUCUUGAUACUGCAAAAUUGGGUAGAGGGUACCUUAAAAUCGUGGGGGUCAGGGUAUCUCCUAACUGACCUGUGGCAUGAGGAUGACUGAGAGAAAAUAAAGUCCUGUUUAACAAAUCUAACUUCUCCUAAAAAUUCAGGCUCCAUCCUUCCAGCUGGAAACAAGAUAAUAUAAUGGGAUGUUACAAGCUGUUAAAAUUUGAGACCCAGGAGGGGGAAUAGUCUGAAGUUAUCCCAUGAACUGUUCCAUUCUUUGUGGGAGGCUGUUAAAAUAAAGCAACAAUAUAAAAGAUGAGUUAUAUACAAUUUAAUGUAAAGCUGUUUGAUGUCAUUAUGAUAUUUCUUCCUUGAUUGUCUAACAUUUGUGUAGUUCUAAAAAGUUUUACAUUUUUUGGUUCUUUCUGAACAUUAUGAAAAUUGUACUGAGAAGAGUAAAUUCAUCUGCAUAAAAUUGACUGCAAAGAGCAA
ensembl:lncRNA